GAAGAUCUUCUCGUCUGGAGUCAUGUGAUUAGUGCACCCGCUGUCAAUGAGCCAUGAGUUUUCUUCAUUCAAAUCUUGUUUUUCUUGUCUUGCAACGAACGUAUGAUUCUCUUCUCUUUCAAGUACUGUCUCAGCAGCAAUCUUCGACUCCCACUCUGGUGAGCCCUCUCUUCUCUCCUUGAUAGCUCCUCUGAGCACCAACACAGGUUUUCCAGUUUCUUCACACAUCUUCACAACGUUAGGUUCCAUGAAUCAGCUAGUGCUCUGAUACCAUGUUGAAAAGCUUGUAGAAUCACAGAAAAAUAGCAAGAUCAAAUUUAGACAAAGAUUUUGAGAGCAAAACAGAGAAAAACGUUUAUCUCUUCAUAUUCCCAUAUCUCUCUCUCAAUAACCAUUUUUCUCUCUUUUAUCCAGAGAGUAUCACAUGCACUCAAGCACCUACAGCUCUCUACAGCCACCCUAGGACUCUACAAAUACAUUGGAACUCAAAAACAAACAACGACAAAGUAAAACACACUCAAACAACUUGAUGGGCCUUCAUACAAACAAAAGCCCAACGAACAAAACACCCAGCCCACAAAUAAGCUUCUUCUCCUUCUUCGACACACCAACGAUGGUUUGUAACACAUAACACAUCACUUAACAAAAAUUCAAGUCUCGAAUCCUGAAGUUGAUCAGAAUACUCAUUAGUCGAUUUACCUUGCUUUCAGGUACUGUUGGGCGUGUAGAUCCCUUGUGUGAACUGAUUGAACUUGUGUUGAAGGUUUCUAGCUCUUUGACGUGUUAUAGGGCCUUCAGGUAUGUAUGGAACCUCAAUCUCCAGCCUUUGGUUUACUUCCAUGUCCUCCAAAUCUUGGUCUGAUUCGAUGUCCGCAUCACUUGUAGAUGUGAAUAUUAGGAAUGGUACAAUCUUUUGGUUUGUUACUUUUGUUUAUGGCAAUUCUGUGACCAAUUUGAAAGAUUUGGUUUGGGAAAUAAUGAAUACAAUUGGUUAUUUCAAUGAGAUGUUAUCUAAUGAGGAAAAGCUAGGUGAUCUUCAAAGACAAACUUCCUAUAACAUUUGCAGACUCUCUUGAAGAAUUGUGAUAUGUAUGAAUUAGAAAGUUUUGAUAAUGG
rnacentral:lncRNA from 1 species